UGAAAAUAUUAUUAAAAUUUUUCAAUUUUAAUUCGUUAACAAAAUUUCACUUACAAUUGUCACAAUACAUGGUUAAUUAUUUAAUCGAUUCGAAGAGAAACCAGGACGCGAACACUUGUAAUUGCCGAUCUACCGAGGUCUCUAGGAAGGAUCUUAAGACGAUCUCUUUUCUCUCUUACGUAUGUCCUUCUUCGUCUCGCUACUUUUAUAACCGAGAUAACAAGCGAUCCAAAAUUCUCGAUUUAAAUUCUUGAAAGGAAACACGACAGUGGCCUCGUAUUUCGUUAAAAUGUCAUUCAUCGUUUUAUAAGAAUUAUCAAUGAUAUUGUAUAUUUUCAAACGACGUAGUAAGUGCACAAGUAAAGAAAAAAUAAAAAAAAAAAUCGUGACGAGCUUCCAUUAGGAUUUCAUAAAUUCUUCGAAAGUAAUUUGAUUAUAAUUAAGUGAGAACGCAAAAAUAAUUGAGGAUUAAGAAAAUACGGGAUUAGAUAGAAUUAAAAUAUUUUGUAAUAUUGCAUAUAGGAUUUUUCAUCUUCUUAGAAGCACUUCAUUUUUUAGUUGAGUUACUUUAAUACUUUCAUUGCGUGUUAUCUUUAUUUACAAUCUAUGAGAGAUAAUACAUUUUGAAGAUCACAAGGGAAAUAAAUGUAACAGGAUAUCAUCGUCGUUAGCCUUCAAACUAUUCGAUGUAAAAUGAAUGUUCAUGAAAAGUUCAGUAUACGUCUUGUUCACGUAAUCGUCAUCUCCUUUUAUUGAUGCGUUUGAUGUAAUUUAUUGCCAUGCUUGAGAAAUCGAUUAACAUUAUCCAUCUAAUACGAUUUUCCAUUCGAAUGUUUUAUUAUUAAGCAUCGAUCGAGAUAGAAGAAUCUGGAAAAUCGCAGUUAUCCAAUAUACCCUACAAUGUUGUCCAACGUUUGCAACGAUUUCCCGACACAGAGGGCGGCGAUUCCUUGAGGCGAUUCUUAGUUGUUCAUCGUCUUGUUCUGUUCACUGGAGACGGGAGCAGAACUCGAACUGGGUCAGGGCAGCGCGCCAAAUGGUUGGAUCAAUUUUAUUUUAAAUUUAUCAAGUCCGCUUCGACUCCAUGGACACGCGUGAUCAGUUCAGAUUUCCAGACUGUGCAUACCGAUUAAAAUGGGGAAAUAUACAUGGGAUAAGUAAUAACGGAGAACCACUGAAACUAUGUGAGUCAGGCAGAAUAAGGUCCAAUAUAAGGCCCUGAGGUGAUUCGCCUAGACGGCCAUGACCAUAUUACAGGCCAAAGGCCCCUGAUACCAUCUAUACUUCCAGUAACAAUUGAUGAAA